CAGUCGCCGCGGUAAUACGUAGGUCCCGAGCGUUGUCCGGAUUUAUUGGGCGUAAAGCGAGCGCAGGCGGUUAGAUAAGUCUGAAGUUAAAGGCUGUGGCUUAACCAUAGUACGCUUUGGAAACUGUUUAACUUGAGUGCAAGAGGGGAGAGUGGAAUUCCAUGUGUAGCGGUGAAAUGCGUAGAUAUAUGGAGGAACACCGGUGGCGAAAGCGGCUCUCUGGCUUGUAACUGACGCUGAGGCUUGAAAGCGUGGGGAGCGAACAGGAUUAGAUACCCCUGUAGUCCCUGUCUCUUAUACA
rnacentral:rRNA from 1 species